GCGGGUGAUAGUGUAGAUGGCAAAGCACAGCUGGCGAAACUGCCGGUCAGGCGUAGGUUCGAAUCCUGCCACCCGCC
rnacentral:tRNA from 1 species